GAAAUUCAAGCUGCUCGUAGGACUUAGAGAUGAUCGUAGAUAUGUCUAGAAAAACUGUUUCUUCUGUCUCUUUAAUACCAUUGAAAUGUGGAUAUUUAAUUUCCACGGUGAGUGAAAAAGAUGCCGUCCCAAAGUGCUUGUGUCCUACUUCAGUCUCUUGGGAUUCUUGUUCUACCCUGUCUGCAGCACACGCACAGAGCCUCUUUGCUGCUGCAAAUUGCAGAAAACCCAGCUAUUCAUGGAUGAGAUGGAGUCCUAAGGAUCACGGUGACCAUCAGUCCAAAAGCAGCACCUUGUAAGAAAGU